rnacentral:lncRNA from 1 species
GAUUCUACCUUUUCCCGGUACUCGCCCGGAUUCUAUCAUUUUCCGGUACUGACCCUGAUUCUACCAAUUUUCGGCCCUCGUUCGGAAAGUUUUAUGGUACUCGGACGGAUUCUACAUUUUCCCGGUACUCGCCCGGAUUCUAUCAUUAUCCGGUACUGUCCCCGAUUCUACCAAUUUUCGGUUCUCGUUCAGAAAGUUUUUGGGUACUUGGACGGAUUCUACAUUUUCCCGGUACUCGCCCGGAUUCUAUCAUUUUCCGGUACUGACCCUGAUUCUGCCAAUUUU